rnacentral:lncRNA from 1 species
AAGGGCAGCCCUGCGCAGCGCAUAUCCCAUUCUGGAGCUACAAACGAACCUUUGAUGCAAAUCUACGCAGAAGGAUACAUACACCUAUACAAAGAAGAUAUACACGGAACAGAAGGAUCCUGAGAAGCGGUCGUGCUUUUCGGACGAGCGGCUCACCGAACCCCGCCGACUGAUCGCAUCGCCUAGACGCCUCCGUGGCACCGAACGCGACACCGCGAACCAACAGGUGGCGCUGGCACGGGAGCGGAGGGUCAAAGACGGGCACCACGUGACGGAGCCCUUUGCAACACGCAGGCGCGCGUCGUGGCCGCACGCAGCCUUUGCGUGUCCCUGGACAAAGCGCGCGUCCGCCAUCCCGGCGCCGGACCCGAACGUCGACAGACGAUGCCGCCAAAAGGCGAGCGCAGCCACCCGGCCAUUUCUCCGUCCAGCCGGACUCGAACGACUCUCCCUCCACCUUGAAGAAUCAGGCGGACGCCUAGCUUGAUUUUAAGCUAUUCUUUCUUCGCGUGCAAGUUGGCGAUUUCCUUAUUCAUCCAUCGCUUUUGAUUAUCCGUGUCAUCGGUAUUUUGCGAACAAAUCGUCGCAAUCUUUUAUCUGCUUGAUGAGAUGGAGAAUUCGUACUGUACUACUGUAAUAUCGAAUUAAACAAGUAUAUUUGUCAAUGCGCUGGGCAUCCAGCAGUGCAACAAUCAGAGGCC